UGGGCACAUCACCUUGUGUCACCCCUCGGGGCUUCAGCAGCUCCAGUGCUGCUCCUCUGCACAUCCCUGCAGCCCCUGCCCAUGGGUGAGACGCCUGCCUUCCCCACAGCGCUGCUGGCAGCACGGGGCUAAUCCCCCAGAGCCCUGAGCCGAUCGGGGUGGCUGGGGGGGCAGUGGCGAGCUGCAGUGGCCAGGGGAGCUCUCCGUGCCAGGGUGGCUGCCCAAGGAGGCAGUGCUGAGCCCGCGGGGGACCUGGAGACAGAAGGACACCAAGGACCUUCUUGGGCUGCCCAGGAGCCAGCCCAGUGAGCAGCUGGUGUUUCCUGGGCACUGUGCACCCCGUGCUGGGCUCUGCCAGCUGAAGAGCCCGGGCAGUGCCCGCAGCCAGCGGGAUGAUGGGCUGGAUUGACCGGGUGGUGCCCCAGCCCCCGGUGCCCCACGUGGCGGAGGAGAGCCCUGUGCAGCCAGCCAAGGCACCGACAGCAAAGGCUGCUGGCCCCACAGAUGCUGCUGAACGGGCACGCACGGAGGAAACAGAAAAGAAAGUGACCUUUGUGGCUUCUGAGGACUCGAGUUCUGUGUUUGACAGUGUGGGGAGCAGUGUCCUCUCCUGGCUCUCCCAUGGGCUGGAGAAGGUGAUUCCCCAGCCAGCCCCAGCCCCAGGGCUGCAGGCACUCGGGAAGAGCUUCGAGACAAGCAUCGACGUUGCUGAUGAGACAGAGGUCCAGGUCAUUGGGGAUGAGGACGACGAUGGUCUGGAGAUAACUCCCUUCGAUGCCGAGGACGACGCGUCCGAGGGGGAGCUGGAGAGCGCCCCGGAGCAGUGGGCAGGACAGCGGGUUCUCAGCUGGCUCUCACAGGGCUUCGAGAGGAUUCUGCCGCAGCCAGAGGGCAUGAAAAAGACGGAGACAGAGCCGAAGGAGAAGAGCGAAGGCGCGGUGGAAGGCACAGAAGGGACUAAAACCCAGGUGAAGUCGAAGCCCAGCGCUGCAGGCGUUCCGAGUGCCCCGGCGGCAGCGAAGGCAGCGGCGGCCCAGGCCCAGCCGGAGCCAGGGGCUGCCCUGAGCCCUCAGCCCGUGGCUAUGGAUGGCACCAGGAUGUUCAGCUGGUUUGUCCAGGGGCUGGAGAAGGUGAUGCCACAGCCGGUGACCAGGGAGAAGCAGGACACACAGGGAGUGGCCACCGCAACCUCGAGUCCUGUGGAACAAAGUCAUGCAGCCCCUGGGGAGCAGGAGGAAACCCAUCUCACCAUGGAAGAGAUGGAGGAUGGCCAGAUGAAUGAAGAGAUGACAGCCUGGGCUCAUCAGGCUGAGCUGCAGGCAGAUGCUCAUUCCCUUCCCACCAUACAGGAGGAGCCUCAGGAAGAAGAGACCAGAACCUGUUUGUGCUCCCCAAACACUGCCAAGGGGGAUGAGGAAAAGGAGGAGGAGGAGAAGAAAGAGGAGGAGGAAGAGAGGAAGAAAGAGGAAGAGGAAAGGAAGAAAGAAGAAGAGGA
rnacentral:lncRNA from 1 species